AUUGAACGCUGGCGGCAGGCCUAACACAUGCAAGUCGAGCGGAUGAAGGGAGCUUGCUCCUGGAUUCAGCGGCGGACGGGUGAGUAAUGCCUAGGAAUCUGCCUGGUAGUGGGGGAUAACGUCCGGAAACGGGCGCUAAUACCGCAUACGUCCUGAGGGAGAAAGUGGGGGAUCUUCGGACCUCACGCUAUCAGAUGAGCCUAGGUCGGAUUAGCUAGUUGGUGGGGUAAAGGCCUACCAAGGCGACGAUCCGUAACUGGUCUGAGAGGAUGAUCAGUCACACUGGAACUGAGACACGGUCCAGACUCCUACGGGAGGCAGCAGUAGGGAAUAUUGGACAAUGGGCGAAAGCCUGAUCCAGCCAUGCCGCGUGUGUGAAGAAGGUCUUCGGAUUGUAAAGCACUUUAAGUUGGGAGGAAGGGAAGUAAGUUAAUACCUUGCUGUUUUGACGUUACCAACAGAAUAAGCACCGGCUAACUUCGUG
rnacentral:rRNA from 1 species